rnacentral:rRNA from 1 species
GACGAACGCUGGCGGCGUGGAUUAGGCAUGCAAGUCGAACGGUAUCAUCCUUUCGGGGGUGAGAGAGUGGCGAACUGGUGAGUAACACGUAGGUUAUCUACCCUCAAGACGGGGACAACCCAGGGAAACUUGGGCUAAUACCGGAUGUGAGCAACUUUUAGUUGUUUGAAAGGUGGCGUAAGCUGUCGCUUGGGGAUGAGCCUGCGUCCUAUUAGUUAGUUGGUGAGGUAACGGCUCACCUAGGCAAUGAUAGGUAGGCGGCCUUAACGGGUGGUCGCCCACACUGGGAUUGAGAUACGGCCCAGACUCCUACGGGAGGCAGCAGUCGAGAAUAGUCUACAAUGGUCGGAAGACUGAUAGUGCGACGCCGCGUGAACGAUGAAUCCCUUCGGGGUGUAAAGUUCUUUUAUAUGUGAGCAGUGCUUCUUAUAUUAACAGUAUGGGGAGAGAGAUAUUAGCAUAUGAAUAAGCAACGGCUAACUCCGUGCCAGCAGCCACGGU